ensembl:lncRNA
CCCCACUCAUAGGAAAAUUAAAACACAGGAAAGCAGCUGGAUCAGCUACUGCCUUUCACUACAGUUACCAUUUUAGGUUAUGGAUCAAGGUUGAACUGUACAGAGAGAGUGCAGCCACAAGGCUCUGGCUGUGCCGGGCCUCCCACCAGCCUGGGCCCCAAAGCAGCCCCAACUGUGCCUGGGUCUCCUCCAUCCUGGGCCCCAAAGCAGCCCCAACUGCGCCCGGUCCUCCUCCAUCCUGGGCCCCAAAGCAGCCCCAACUGUGUCUGGUCCUCCUCCAUCCUAGGCCCCAACUGCGCCCAGGCUGUGCCUGGGCUCCCUUCUGUCUGGGCCCAGACAAGGCCUCACCUGUGCCUGGUCCAGCCCGGGCCCCAAAUCUGCCCCAUCUGUGCCAGGCCCCACUCCAGCCCAAGCCCCAAAGCCACCCCAACUGUGCAAGGCCCAUCUCCAGCCAAGGCCUCAAAGCAGCUCCAAAUGUGCCAGGCCCCCCUCCAGCCUGAGCCCCAAAAGCAGCCCCAAGUGAGCCUGGUUCUCUUCCAUCCUGGGCCCCAAAGCCCUGGCUGUGCCUGGGCCUUCUUUUGUCUGGGCCCAGACGAGGCCUCAACUAUGCCAGGCCGCCUUCCAUCCUGGGCCCCAAAGCAGCCCUAACUGUGCCUGGUCCUCCUCCAUCCUGGGCCCGAAAGCAGCCCAUACUGGGUCUGGUCCUUCUUGAUCCUGGGCCCCAAAGCAGCCCCAACUGCGCCCGGUCCUCCUCCAUCCUGGGCCCCAAAGCAGCCCCAACUGUGCCUGGUCCUGCUUCAUCCUGGGCACCAAGAGCCUGGCUGUGCCGGGGCUCCCUUUGGUCUGGGCCAAGAGCAGGCCUCAACUGUGCCAGGCCCCCCUCCAGCCCAGGCCCCAAAGCAGCCCCAACUGUGCCAGGCACCUUUCCAGCUCGGGCCCCAAGGCAGCCCCAACUGUGCCUGGUCCUCCUCCAUCCUGGGCCCCAAGGUACAGGAUGUGCCGGGGCGCCCUUUGGUCUGGGCCCAGAGGAGGCUUCAACUCUGCUAGGCCUCCCUCCAGCUCGGGCCCCCCCAGUGCAACCCCAACUGCACCUGGUCCUCCUCCAUCCUCAACCCCAACACAGCCCCAACUGAGCCUGGUCCUUCUCCAUCCUGGACCCCAAAGCAGCCCCAGCUGUGCCAUGUCCUCCUCCAUCCUGGGACCAAGGGCAGCCCCAUCUGUGUCUGGUCCUACUCCAUCCUAGGACCCAAGGCCCAGGCUGUGCCGGGGCUCCCUUUGGUCUGGGAAAAGAGCAGGCCUCAACUGUGCCAGGCCCCCCUCCAGCCCAGGCCCCAAAGCAGCCCCAACUGUGCCUGCUCCUCCUCCACCCUAGGCCCCAAAGCCUGGGCAGUGCCGGGGCUCCCUCUGGUCUGGGCCAAGAGGAGGCCUCAACUCUGCUAGGCCCCCCUCCAGCUCGGCCCCCCCCAGUGCAGCCCUAACUGCACCUGGUCCUCCUCCAGCCUAGGCCCCGAGGCUCUACCUGUGCCUGGGCCCCCUUCCUUCUGGGCCCACACCAGGCCUCAACUGUGCCAGGCCCCCUCCAGCCUGGGCCCCGAGGCCACCACUCUGCUGGACCACCCUCCGGCACAGGCCCUGCCCCAAGCCCUGCCCCCUCUGGACAGCUCUGCUCUUUGCCUGCUUGGUUUUUGUUCUCUCUUCACUCUGCCAGCUUAACUGGAUGAGUUUCAAUGGGGCCGAGUGUCGGGUCCUGCAUUUUGGUCACAACAAGCCCAGGUGUCCCCCCAGUCCUCCUUGGGGAGGAGUGGCUGGAAAGCUGCCUGAGCCCUGAAAGGGACCUUGGUGUGCUGACGGACAGGUGGCUGAAGAUGAGCCAGCAGUGUGCCCAGGUGGCCAAGAAGGCCAAUGGCAUAAGGACAAUUCCUGGCUCAGGAACGGUGUGGUGAGCAGGACUAGGGAAGUCAUCCUGCCCCUGGACUCGGCACUGGCGAGGCCUCACCUCGAGUGCAGUGUUCAGUUUUGGGCACCUCAGCACAGAAGGGCCGUUGAGGUGCUGAAGCAGGUUGAAAGAAGGGCAACAAGGCUGGGGAAGGCCUUGGCCAAUAUGCCCUCUGAGGAGUGACUGAAGGAACUGGGGCUGUUUAGUGUGGGGAAAAGGAGGCUGAGGGGAGACCUGAUGGGCUCCCUAUUCCACCCAGGGAGCUGGUUCAGUCACCAUCCCUGAAUGUGUUGAAAACCAGGUGGUGCUCGGGGACAUGAUUGAGCAGGGGCUUGUUAGAGUUAGGCUGGUAUGGUUAGGUUGUGCUUAGACUGGAGGGUCUUGAAGGUCUUUGUGGCGACAAAAACUCCAACCAUCUCAAGCCUGGGGGAAAGGGGCUGACCCCAACGGUCACGCAACCCCCCUGGGGGGAGGGGCUCCCCUAACUGCCACUCUCCAGCUGUCAUGGCAGGUAAGGCAGCACGCUUCCCCUGCUCCCAUGCUUCAGCUGGCCCCAGCGCUCCAGAUCCCACCCCUGUGCCCCAGAUCUCACCCCAGCGCCCCAGAUCCCACCCCUGUAACCCCGAUAUCACCCCUGUAAGCCCGAUCUCACCCCUGUGCCCCAGAUCCCACCCCAGCGCCCCAGAUCCCAGCCCUGUAAGCCCGAUCUCCGCCCUGUGCCCCAGAUCCCACCCCAGCGCCCCAGAGCUCACCCCAGAGCCCACCCCAGAGCCUACUUUGGCCUUUCCCCACAG